CCUACGGGUGGCAGCAGUGGGGAAUAUUGGUCAAUGGGGGGAACCCUGAUCCAGCCAUGCCGCGUGUGUGAAGAAGGCCCUCGGGUUGUAAAGCACUUUCAGUGAGGAAGAACGCCUGGUGGUUAAUACCCAUCAGGAAAGACAUCACUCACAGAAGAAGCACCGGCUAACUCCGUGCCAGCAGCCGCGGUAAUACGGAGGGUGCGAGCGUUAAUCGGAAUUACUGGGCGUAAAGCGCGCGUAGGUGGCUUGAUAAGCCGGUUGUGAAAGCCCCGGGCUCAACCUGGGAACGGCAUCCGGAACUGUCAAGCUAGAGUGCAGGAGAGGAAGGUAGAAUUCCCGGUGUAGCGGUGAAAUGCGUAGAGAUCGGGAGGAAUACCAGUGGCGAAGGCGGCCUUCUGGACUGACACUGACACUGAGGUGCGAAAGCGUGGGUAGCAAACAGGAUUAGAUACCCUAGUAGUC
rnacentral:rRNA from 1 species